rnacentral:rRNA from 1 species
AAUGAACGCUGGCGGCGGGCCUAACACAUGCAAGUCGAGCGAACACAUGAGGCGCUUGGCCGCCUUACUUUAGCGGCGGAGGGGUGAGUAACAUGUCGAGGACCUAGCCAUAAGAAGGGGGUAAACUAGGGGAACCGGUGCUUAUUACGGAAUAUAUAUUGAAGAGCAAAGAUCGGGAGUUAAAGACGGCUUUGCUGUGAAUGAUAGCAGGUGCCGCACCGCAUUAGCUAGUUGGUCAGGUAACGGCUUACCAAGGCCACGAUGGGUAGCCGACCUGAGAGGGUGAUCAGCCACACUGGAACUGAGACACGGUCCAGACUCCUACGGGAGGCAGCAGUAGGGAAUCUUCCGCAAUGGGCGAAAGCCUGACGGAGCAACGCCGCGUGAAUGAUGAAGGUCUUCGGAUCGUAAAGCUCUGUUAGUAGGGAGGAAGAAAUGUGUAUUUAACUAUGCACGUAUUGACGGUACCUGAAGAAAAAGCCACGGCUAACUACGUG